UACGUAGGGGCCUAGCGUUGUCCGGAUUUAUUGGGCGUAAAGAGCUCGUAGGCGGUUUGGUAAGUCGGGUGUGAAAUCUCCACGCUCAACGUGGAGGGGCCACCCGAUACUGCCAUGACUGGAGUCCGGUAGGGGAGUGUGGAAUUCCCGGUGUAGCGGUGAAAUGCGCAGAUAUCAGGAGGAACACCGGUGGCGAAGGCGGGUCUCUGGGAAGUAACUGACGCUGAGAAGCGAAAGCAUGGGUAGCAAACAGG
rnacentral:rRNA from 1 species